rnacentral:rRNA from 1 species
GACGAACGCUGGCGGCGUGCCUAAUACAUGCAAGUCGAGCGGAACUGGGGGAGCUUGCUCCUUCCAGUUUAGCGGCGGACGGGUGAGUAACACGUGGGCAACCUGCCCUGCAGAUCGGGAUAACUCCGGGAAACCGGUGCUAAUACCGAAUAGUUUGGCGCCUCUCCUGAGGCGCCACGGAAAGACGGUUUCGGCUGUCCCUGCAGGAUGGGACCGCGGCGCAUUAGCUAGUUGGUGGGGUAACGGCCCACCAAGGCGACGAUGCGUAGCCGACCUGAGAGGGUGACCGGCCACACUGGGACUGAGACACGGCCCAGACUCCUACGGGAGGCAGCAGUAGGGAAUCUUCCGCAAUGGACGCAAGUCUGACGGAGCAACGCCGCGUGGGUGACGAAGGUUUUCGGAUCGUAAAACUCUGUUGUGAGGGAAGAACACGUACCAACUAACUAUUGGUACCUUGACGGUACCUCACCAGAAAGCCACGGCUAACUACGUGCCAGCCGCCGCCGUAA